ACGCGAAGAACCUUCCCACCUUUUGACAUGCCUGGACCGCCACGGAGACGUGGCUUUCCCUUCGGGGACUAGGACACAGGUGCUGCAUGGCUGUCGUCAGCUCGUGUCGUGAGAUGUUGGGUUAAGUCCCGCAACGAGCGCAACCCUCGCCAUUAGUUGCCAUCAUUUAGUUGGGAACUCUAAUGGGACUGCCGGUGCUAAGCCGGAGGAAGGUGGGGAUGACGUCAAGUCCUCAUGGCCCUUACAGGGUGGGCUACACACGUGCUACAAUGGCGACUACAGAGGGUUAAUCCUUAAAAGUCGUCUCAGUUCGGAUUGUCCUCUGCAACUCGAGGGCAUGAAGUGGAAUCGCUAGUAAUCGCGGAUCAGCAUGCCGCGG
rnacentral:rRNA from 1 species